ACAAAGGAGGACAUAACAUGAGGCCACAAUUACCAGAGGCUAGGACUGAGCUGACCUGAAAAAGCCUCUGUUAUUAAUUUAAUUGGUGGACUUUCACUCGUGUGCAUUAGCUCCGGAGAUGUUGCUUCAUCGAUAUAGGAGUAGUUCUGUCGCAGCCACCCACAGGAAGGCUGCAUGCAUCAGGAAGGAGAUGGGGAAAGCCUUCAGCAGACUCAUCCCAGCAAGAGUGGAAAUCGCCGGAGAGCCGAUGAGGGUCAGGACUGCAUGGCAGCACUCGGCCCCCGCAGGGAUCUGUGGUGUCCAGGGUGAACUUCUCCACGCCGGUGGGUGAAUCAGUCAGAGGUCCAGACAUAAGGGAGCCUCCAGCCUGCCCAGCGGCCUCCCUGCCUGCCUGCUGUAUGCCUGUGCCGGCCCACCUGCCUGCUCCAUAAUGCACCUGUUGUCCUGUGCCCUCCUGCUGCUCGCCUGAAUUCAUGUUUUUACUUAUUUCUGCUAAUUGCCCAGUGCAGGCCAGAGGAACAUGGACCUCCCCCUAGAGUGUCUGGGGACCUCGGGACUCUCUAAAUGCUUUGUUAUAAUACCCGAUGUCGAAAGUGAUAUAUCAGUACAUUUGAAUUCAAGUAACUGAAUUGAUGAGUUUUCAUCUCUUUCUGUCUGAUCUGUAAACAUCGCUAAGUGUGAUUCCUCGGGGCAAUAGGCCAGUCAUUCUAGUACAUUUUUAGGUGGAGCUGGCCAGACGGCGGUAACCAAAGCAUGGCCAGCAGUCAUUAUGGGUGUUUCAAGGGUACUUUCAGGGGGGACCAGACCAGGGAUUAUUAUUUCUGACUGCUUCCAGUAUCAGGACCUGGGAAUAAGCCACAGACGGAUUAUCAACAAAAACUGGCUAUAAUCCCCUGUCGAAAACUACAUUACAUAUUACACAGGUCUACAAAUUUGUUUUUUCAGGUGCCAAGGUUUUUUGAAUGGAUUUAGGGUAUUUUGAGGGUGCUGAAUUAAAUUAAAAAAUCCCAUUACUUUUGCUGAAUUGGUUCUAGUUUUUAAGAUAAUGGACAUCCACGAAAAUCAUGCAACUAGUGUGUGAUAACAAAUGCAAUAGCUUUUGGUCUGUC